GCCACAUGGGAGACAGUCUGUUCCUGGCUUUCUUUGGAUAAAGAUGAGCUCUCAGCUCCUUCUGUAGCACUAUGUCUGUCUGGAUUGCUGCCAUACUUCCUGCCAUGAUGAUAAUGGACUGAAUUUCUGAACCUGUUUGAAGAAGAGUGACUGACGGUGCAGGUUGCUGCAGGAGACAGUAUAAAAGAGAGGAGUAAUUCAAAACAUCCAAUCGCCAAAGAAGACAAUGCCUGCUAUAAGUCUUUGUCAUUAUCCUCCGUGCUGAUGGCCGUGUCCCCUCAUCUACUGGAAAAGCAACGGAUGGCUGGAGAUUUUCAUCGAUCUACAUUUCGACAUUGCCUUGAAUGACUCAGCGUCAGUGCAUAUGCCCACAGAGAAGCCUUCCUCUCUGUUCUGCAUUGUCCCCAUCUUUAAAGGUCUCCUCUCUUCCUCUUUACUCUGUAGUUUUAGGGUCUGUGAUUCUCCAAAGAAUGAUACCCCAGACUCAAACAGUAUGCAAUAAAAAGAGUGUUUACUCUGCAGAGAUCCAGCCUGCAGGGGUCUACCAUCCAUGGAAGAUCGAGAAGUGUGCUUUGCAGGGUCAGUUUAAAGUCUGUUAGGUUAGGGGCAGGUGACUUUUACCUUUCUUUCCUUUGAUUGGUUGGCUCUAUAACCAGGUAUAUUUGUGAUUG
rnacentral:lncRNA from 1 species